rnacentral:rRNA from 1 species
AUAUUGGACAAUGGGGGAAACCCUGAUCCAGCGACGCCGCGUGAAUGAUGAAGGCCUUAGGGUUGUAAAGUUCUUUCGUCCACGAGGAUGAUGACAGUAGUGGAAGAAGAAGCUCCGGCUAACUUCGUGCCAGCAGCCGCGGUACUACGAAGGGGGCUAGCGUUGCUCGGAAUUACUGGGCGUAAAGCGCAUGUAGGCGGCGAUUCAAGUUAGAUGUGAAAGCUCCCGGCUUAACUGGGAAACGGCAUCGGAAACUGAUCGGCUUGAAGGUGGGAGAGGGUAGUGGAAUUCCCGGUGUAGUGGUGAAAUGCGUAGAUAUCGGGAGGAACACCAGUGGCGAAGGCGACUACCUGGCCCAUUCUUGACGCUGAGGCGCGAAAGCUAGGGGAGCGAACGGG